rnacentral:lncRNA from 1 species
CAAACACAUAAACACUACUACACACUUUCAAACCAGAGCCCAAAAAUUGGUGGUAAAACAGAGCAACCCAAGUGAGGAAAUGGCAGCAAUCAUCACAGAGCCAAAGAAGAAGGCAAUGAAAAAGAAGAACUCAACUGCAAUUGAGGGGGUAGUCUUGGGGAAGAGCAACACAACAACAUGUUGUGAAAAACCAGAGAUUGCAUCUGUAAUUCCAGCAAAGAGAAGGUCAGUGAAAAAGAUGAUGUUUGAUUCUAUUGUCCACUCUGCGUCCUCUUCUCUUUCUUGUAUCUGUGAUGAUCCUGUUGGCUCUGUUGAACCAAAAAAGGAAAAAAGUCCAAAUAACCAAAUGACUCCAUAGCCAUAGAUGGUUAUGUGUAUCAGAGUUUGCUGCAAUAUACUUGAAAAAAAGGCCAUGCACUACUAAGAGAUAUGUUUUCUUUUCCCUACUUGUUGCAAUUAAAGUUUUAAUUAUUUCCUCAAUUUGUUUCCUCCUCUUUUUCUUUUUUUUGGUGUAAUCUGGGUUAUCAAAAUCACCUGCUUACUGGUGCACAUUCUGAACAAGGACG